CUUAAAGGAAUUGACGGGAACCCGCACAAGCGGUGGAGUAUGUUGUUUAAUUCGAAGAUACACGAAGAACCUUACCAGGUCUUGACAUACCAUUGACAGGUGCAGAGAUGUACCCUUCCUCGGACAAUGGAUACAGGUGGUGCAUGGUUGUCGUCAGCUCGUGCCGUGAGGUGUUGGGUUAAGUCCCGCAACGAGCGCAACCCCUACUUUUAGUUGCCAGCAGUAAGAUGGGCACUCUAAAGGAACUGCCGGUGACAAACCGGAGGAAGGUGGGAUGACGUCAAAUCAUCAUGCCCUUUAUGUUCUGGGCUACACACGUGCUACAAUGGCCGGUACAGAGGGUAGCGAAGGAGCGAUCCGGAGCCAAUCCCAAAAAGCCGGUCUCAGUUCGGAUUGCAGGCUGCAACUCGCCUGCAUGAAGUCGGAAUCGCUAGUAAUCGCGAGUCAGCAUAUCGCGGUGAAUACGUUCCCGGGUCUU
rnacentral:rRNA from 1 species